GCUCGAUUACUUUACCUAUAUUACUCAUUUUACCCAGCUUUCUAAGCAUGCCAAAAGUAGCUAGGAUAAGAAUUUAGAAAGGGUCCAAAAGGGCACACCUUAAAGGGUACUAAAUUUAGAAAGCUUAGUCAUGAUAAGAAUUUUCUGAUUACCCUAGAAUUUUGGAAUAAUUUCUUACGUACCAUUGGUUAAACUCGAAAACCCUUAUAUGCCAUUUCCAGUGACCAUGCGGGAUCCCACGUGUCAUAGACACAACAAUGGCAUAUGAAAGAUUACAAGUUUUCUCGUGGCAUAUAAGAAAAUUCCCCUACAAAAUGUGAUUAAGGGCAUGUGCCCUCCCCCCCUACCCCACCC
rnacentral:lncRNA from 1 species